GUGGGGAAUAUUGGACAAUGGGCGAAAGCCUGAUCCAGCAAUGCCGCGUGAGUGAUGAAGGCCUUAGGGUUGUAAAGCUCUUUUACCAGGGAUGAUAAUGACAGUACCUGGAGAAUAAGCUCCUGCUAACUCCGUGCCAGCAGCCGCGGUAAUACGGAGGGAGCUAGCGUUGUUCGGAAUUACUGGGCGUAAAGCGCACGUAGGCGGUUACUCAAGUCAGAGGUGAAAGCCCGGGGCUCAACCCCGGAACUGCCUUUGAAACUAGGUAACUAGAAUCUUGGAGAGGUCAGUGGAAUUCCGAGUGUAGAGGUGAAAUUCGUAGAUAUUCGGAAGAACACCAGUGGCGAAGGCGACUACCUGGACUGAUACUGACACUGAGGUGCGAAAGCGUGGGGAGCAAACAGGAUUAGAAACCCGAGUAGUCC
rnacentral:rRNA from 1 species